rnacentral:rRNA from 1 species
CUAUACAUGCAGUCGUACGCGUGUGGCCCAACGAAUUGAUGAUGCUUGCAUCUGAUUGACGUUGGUUUACCAACGAGUGGCGGACGGGUGAGUAACACGUAGGCACCUGCCCAGAAGCGGGGGACAACAUUUGGAAACAAGUGCUAAUACCGCAUAACAACAUUAACCGCCUGGUUAAUGUUUAAAAGAUGGUUUCGGCUAUCACUUCUGGAUGGGCCUGCGGCGCAUUAGCUUGUUGGUAAGGUAAUGGCUUACCAAGGCAAUGAUGCGUAGCCGAGUUGAGAGACUGAUCGGCCACAAUGGAACUGAGACACGGUCCAUACUCCUACGGGAGGCAGCAGUAGGGAAUCUUCCACAAUGGGCGCAAGCCUGAUGGAGCAACACCGCGUGAGUGAAGAAGGGUUUCGGCUCGUAAAGCUCUGUUGUUGAAGAAGAACAUGCUAGAGAGUAACUGUUCUAGUAUUGACGGUAUUCAACCAGAAAGUCACGGCUAACUACGUGCCAGCAGCCGCGGUAAUACGUAGGUGGCAAGCGUUAUCCGGAUUUAUUGGGCGUAAAGCGAGCGCAGGCGGUUUUCUAAGUCUGAUGUGAAAGCCUUCGGCUUAACCGAAGAAGUGCAUCGGAAACUGGAUGACUUGAGUGCAGAAGAGGGCAGUGGAACUCCAUGUGUAGCGGUGGAAUGCGUAGAUAUAUGGAAGAACACCAGUGGCGAAGGCGGCUGCCUGGUCUGCAACUGACGCUGAGGCUCGAAAGCAUGGGUAGCGAACAGGAUUAGAUACCCUGGUAGUCCAUGCCGUAAACGAUGAGUGCUAGGUGUUGGAAGGGUUUCCGCCCUUCAGUGCCGCAGCUAACGCAUUAAGCACUCCGCCUGGGGAGUACGACCGCAAGGUUGAAACUCAAAGGAAUUGACGGGGGCCCGCACAAGCGGUGGAGCAUGUGGUUUAAUUCGAAGCUACGCGAAGAACCUUACCAGGUCUUGACAUCUUGCGCCACCCUAGAGAUAGGGCGUUCCCUUCGGGGACGCAAUGACAGGUGGUGCAUGGUCGUCGUCAGCUCGUGUCCUGAGAUGUUGGGUUAAGUCCCCAACAACGCAACCCUUGUUACUAGUUGCCACCAUUUAUUUGGGCCUCUAUUGAGACUGCCGUGACAACCGAAGAAGGGGGGGACAAAUCCAAUCACUGCCCCUAUAACUGGGGACACCUGCUACAUGAAGGUAAACAAUUGGAAUCUCGAGGGAGUAAUCUUUAAACGUUUUAUUUUGAU